CAAUAGCGUAUAUUAAAGUUGUUGCAGUUAAAAAGCUCGUAGUUGGAUUUCUGACAGGAGCGACCGGUCCGAGCCUUCGGGUUCGUGUACUUUGUGUUGUCUCUAGUCAUCCUUAUGGAGAGCGUGUCUUUCAUUAAUUUGUUGGGCAUGGGAUCCAUAUCGUUUACUGUGAAAAAAUUAGAGUGUUCAAAGCAGGCAAUCGCUGUGAAUAUAUUAGCAUGGAAUAAUAGGAUAGGACUUUGGUACUAUUUUGUUGGUUUGCAUACCAAGGUAAUGAUUAAGAGGGACAGUUGGGGGUAUUCGUAUUUAAUUGUCAGAGGUGAAAUUCUUGGAUUUAUGAAAGACGAACUACUGCGAAAGCAUUUACCAAGGAUGUUUUCAUUAA
rnacentral:rRNA from 1 species